UACGGGAGGCAGCAGUGGGGAAUAUUGCACAAUGGGCGCAAGCCUGAUGCAGCCAUGCCGCGUGUAUGAAGAAGGCCUUCGGGUUGUAAAGUACUUUCAGCAGUGAGGAAGGUGGGUAUGUUAAUAGCAUACUCAUUUGACGUUUAGCUGCAGAAGAAGCACCGGCUAACUCCGUGCCAGCAGCCGCGGUAAUACGGAGGGUGCGAGCGUUAAUCGGAAUUACUGGGCGUAAAGCGCAUGCAGGUGGUUUGUUAAGUCAGAUGUGAAAGCCCGGGGCUCAACCUCGGAAUUGCAUUUGAAACUGGCAAACUAGAGUACUGUAGAGGGGGGUAGAAUUUCAGGUGUAGCGGUGAAAUGCGUAGAGAUCUGAAGGAAUACCGGUGGCGAAGGCGGCCCCCUGGACAGAUACUGACACUCAGAUGCGAAAGCGUGGGGAGCAAACAGGAUUAGAUACCCUGGUAG
rnacentral:rRNA from 1 species